GGGAAAGUGGCUCAGUGGUAGAGUGCUUGCUUUACAUGCAUGAAGCUGUGGGUUCAAUUCCUCAGCACCA
rnacentral:tRNA from 1 species